UACAGGGGGGGCAAGCGUUGUUCGGAAUUACUGGGCGUAAAGGGUUCGUAGGUGGCCAACUAAGUCAGACGUGAAAUCCCUCAGCUUAACUGGGGAACUGCGUCUGAUACUGGAUGGCUUGAGUGUAGGAGAGGAAUGCGGAAUUCCAGGUGUAGCGGUGAAAUACGUAGAUAUCUGGAGGAACACCGGUGGCGAAGGCGGCAUUCUGGACUACAACUGACACUGAGGAACGAAAGCCAGGGGAGCAAACGGG
rnacentral:rRNA from 1 species